UGGCACUGACUUUGAACCCGUUUGAUCUGCUCAGUAAUCAAUUGGGCCAAGCUACAGUGCGAAAGCAAAAACCAGGAUUGUUCAUAACUGGGGCCUUCUGGCAUCCCCCAGGCGGCCCUUUUAAAAGCAAUCCACAGCG